rnacentral:snRNA from 1 species
GUGCUUGCUUCGGCAGCACAUAUACUGAAAUUGGAACAAAACAGAGAAGAUUAGUACGGCCCCUGCACAAGGAUGACACGUACAUUCAUGAAGCAUUCCAUAUUAAA